CAAUUAUAUUUUGGUUAAUCUUGAACAAUACAACUAAUAUAAAAACAAGUGAACGAAACUCUAAAGAUCGAUAACAUUUUUAUAUUUAUCAAUGGAGUUUCACUUGUUUUGUAUUUUGUAAAAUACUCAGUAGUUCAAAAAAUUAUUGUAUGACAAUUUUAAUAGGUUGUUAUCUUGGGUGUUUAGCCAAUACUGAUAACAAUAGCCAUGCAGGUUGUUUUAAAUAUUUUUAUAAUACUAAUCAUAAUACAUAAACUUUGUACGUGGCAAAUCAUGUCAACCAUUAAUGAGUUAAAUUAUAAACCAAUAAUAAUUGCUCAAAAGACAAAACAGUUAUAGGCAAUUAUAGAUUUAUAGGCAAUAUUAGUUCAGUACGUCAUAAUCUUUGUUAAUAAGAUUAGAAAAUGCAUCUUAUUUUUACAUAUUUAUACUGAUUAUAUAGUAUACUAUAUACAGCACUGUACAGACCAAACAUUGAAUUGUUUAUCACAGUCAUUUCAACAUAUAGUAUGCAUUCAAGCAGGAACCACACCACCAUAAAUCAUCUUUUAAUCUCCACGACUCCACGUAUGGGGCGGUGGGGGGGGGGGGUUAGGCUGGCUAUUUAUGGGAAUGAAUAGUGAAAAGAGGUGGAGUUUUAGCAAUUGACAUGAAUAUACAAUUACCUAAAAAAAUACUACUUUAAUAGUUGGUCUGUCAUAAAGUCAUAAACUGAGUAUAAACUGAGUUUAUAGUGAUCUAAUGUAUUUUCGUGUGCCUUGGGAGGGCAUGUGGGGAGGUCUAGUCUCCAGAACUAAAAUAUUUAAAAUAUGUAUGUACCUUAUAUCGCGUCGUAAAUUCUUUAAUUAUUGGCAUGCAAGGAAGAUAUUACAAGACAGCUAGAAUUUUGAAGAUGGAAUUAAGAGUUUCAGUCGAAAAACAGAGAUACAGGAUUAUUUGAACUGGAUUGUUCACAUUAUUGAGAUCAGUGCGUUCAGUCAAUCGCGUUGCCAAAUAUGGGCUCCCAUAAGGCUUAGCGAGCACACUCCGAGCGCGUCCUUUGGAAAUUUUAUUUUAACGUCGGUUGAUAUAGCCAAGAUUUCUUAACAUAUUGAAGAAAAUAAGAAGUAAUACUCCAAUUUUUGAAGAUAAAGACAAUAAUUUUAAAUGUAAGUGUUCAACUAUGUCAAUAUUUUUAAGUUUCGUGUGUAAAUAUGUGCCAUAAAUAGUAAUAUAUUCAUGUAUAUUUUAACCGCCGUGCGUUGGCCGCAUGUAUAUUUGUGUGAAAGGUUCAACAAUAUAUUGCUAUUAAAAUACGUUAAAACUUAGUGAUAUUGCCUUGUAUAUUUACAGAUUAUAUUUUCAAGCAAUUAAUAAUGCCAUAAUAUGUGAUCUAAGCAAGUCGAACUGUCGAAAUCAUGAUAUAUACAGGCUACAAGAAGGUAUGAAAUAUACAGUAGAUAGAACAAAGGCAGG